GAUUCCAUAGAUCUAUAUCUUUUGGUUGGCCUGACACAAAAAAAAAACAUAUUCUCUUGAUUUUUUUUAUUUGUUGACAGGCCCGUGUGAAGAUGAUAUAUAUACGUGAGAAGACAAAAUAAACAUUAGUUUGCGAAUAAGAGGUUUUUUAUUCCGCAUCUGAGCUAUGUAACAUCAUAAAAGAGUAAGCUUUAAAUAUGAUCAUCAAUAGGGUUUGGGGUUUGUCGGUGGGUCAGGUGCCCGCCUUGAAAUGCUGCCUGGUGUUUCAAUUUUGCUCCCUCUUAUCACCUUUUCUUCCCAUUGUCCCUCUUCUGUUUUUUUUUUCAGCAUCCAAACAACAAUGUAAUAAUGAUCAAUUAGGUUAUUCAAAUUUAUUUUGCUGAGAAAUAUAUUCGCGUCAAUUUGAUCUCUAUGAUAGAUGUAUUAUCCCACCAAAGUAUGGCCAUGUAAGAAACAUAACUAUAUAAUUUCUCAGAUUGUAAUCUUACUUGU